rnacentral:rRNA from 12 species
CCCAGACAGCCAGGAUGUUGGCUUAGAAGCAGCCAUCAUUUAAAGAAAGCGUAAUAGCUCACUGGUCGAGUCGGCCUGCGCGGAAGAUGUAACGGGGCUAAACCAUGCACCGAAGCUGCGGCAGCGAACGUAUCACUUAAAGCGAUUCAGCGGGUUACGAUUGACGGAGCGAAGCGACGUCAAAGCGUAUACAAAGUCGAGUCGGUUUAAGGAUACGUUCGUUGGGUAGGGGAGCGUUCUGUAAGCCUGCGAAGGUGGCCUGUGAGGGUUGCUGGAGGUAUCAGAAGUGCGAAUGCUGACAUAAGUAACGAUAAAGCGGGUGAAAAGCCCGCUCGCCGGAAGACCAA